rnacentral:rRNA from 1 species
CGAAAGCCUGACGGAGCAAUACCGCGUGAGGGAGGAAGGCUCUUGGGUCGUAAACCUCUUUUCUCAGGGAAGAACGCAAUGACGGUACCUGAGGAAUCAGCAUCGGCUAACUCCGUGCCAGCAGCCGCGGUAAUACGGAGGAUGCAAGCGUUAUCCGGAAUCAUUGGGCGUAAAGCGUCCGCAGGUGGCUUUUCAAGUCUGCUGUCAAAGCCCGGGGCUCAACCCUGGAGAGGCAGUGGAAACUGAGGAGCUAGAGUGUGGUAGGGGCAGAGGGAAUUCCCGGUGUAGCGGUGAAAUGCGUAGAUAUCGGGAAGAACACCAGUGGCGAAAGCGCUCUGCUGGACCGCAACUGACACUCAUGGACGAAAGCUAGGGGAGCG